AUUGAACGCUGGCGGCAGGCCUAACACAUGCAAGUCGAGCGGUAGCACAGAGGAGCUUGCUCCUUGGGUGACGAGCGGCGGACGGGUGAGUAAUGUCUGGGAAACUGCCUGAUGGAGGGGGAUAACUACUGGAAACGGUAGCUAAUACCGCAUAACGUCUUCGGACCAAAGCGGGGGACUUUCGGGCCUCGCGCCAUCAGAUGUGCCCAGAUGGGAUUAGCUGGUAGGUGAGGUAAUGGCUCACCUAGGCGACGAUCCCUAGCUGGUCUGAGAGGAUGACCAGCCACACUGGAACUGAGACACGGUCCAGACUCCUACGGGAGGCAGCAGUGGGGAAUAUUGCACGAUGGGCGCAAGCCUGAUGCAGCCAUGCCGCGUGUGUGAAGAAGGCCUUCGGGUUGUAAAGCACUUUCAGCGGGGAGGAAGGCGGUGAGAUUAAUACUCUCAUCGAUUGACGUUACCCGCAGAAGAAGCACCGGCUAACUCCGUGCCAGCCGCCGCGGUAAAAC
rnacentral:rRNA from 1 species